rnacentral:sRNA from 1 species
UCUCGAAGCUUAGCGCCACCCUGCCCCCGCUGCGCCGCUUCGAGAUCCACCGGGAAGGUGAGCCCAUCCCGCCCUUCCCGGUGGACACC